rnacentral:lncRNA from 1 species
GGGAGCUUUUGAAUGCUGCGAAGAGAGAAGACGCCGGUUUUCAUCGAAGUUUUUGUUAAACCCUGGAAAUCAACGCCACAAUUAAUGCCCCUCCCCAGAAAGAACCGCACCGGCAGCAACCCCGUCAGUUCAGUCUUCAGCACACGACGCAACAAAGUCACCCAACCUACCUUAGACCUUCAGCACCGCAGGCAAUAUCGACACCUCGGACUCAUGAUGUGGUCAAUUCCACGCUGGUGUAACAAGCCAUUAAGCCUCAGGCAUGUGCACUGGCUCUUCAUGAGCCCAGUCUCUUAAACAUCUCACCCAUAGAUUGUGUCAGCUGAUGGUAUUGUACAAAUUGCAACAUGAUCAGAGAAAUAGUAGUGGCAAGUUACACUGAGUGAGAGGAGGUAGUGUGAAAUCACUGGUGCCAAGGUGGGCUGAUGUGGACUACCAUACCUCCUAACGUGGACAAGUAAUACACUACUUACCCGAAAUGAACCAUGUUGUAUUUGUUCUGUUACACCCAUACAUAAUUCGUUAGUUCCAUUGGAAGAAAUUCAUUGGAAUUCCAUGGAACAUCCCUCCCAUGAAAUGCGUAUAUACUGUCAUUCUUGAAGGUUGCAGUGUGGUACCACUAGCAACCCGACUUGCAUGUGCAAUUGUUGCAUAGCUCAGGGUUUCAGAGCUAAUUAUGGGGUACUUCUGUCCUGGUAGCACUGACUGGUUUACGUGCCUCAUGCGUGUGCCGUGUGUGCAGGGUAGCUGCUUUUGCUUCCCAGACAAACCUAUGCAAGUAUGAAUAAUGCUUUAAGCUUCACUUGUUGUUACUGUACUACCGCCUAUUGUCCAAAAGACUAGUCCAUGACCCAAAGUGCUAAAAGCACAGCAACUAAAGAACUACAUCACUGCAACUGGAGGUCUGUGUUGAUGUGGGUGCUCUUGCAGACCAUUUCUUGAUAGCGCAACACCAGUGUGAACAUUUUGUCAAGGGGAAGAUUGCAGAAGUGCAAUAACAAGUGAAUUUCAGUACACACAAAUUGAAUAAAUAUUGUCUUGCAUUAGGAGUAUAUAAUCAGCUGUCCGGUGUAUCUGUAGGUGAGGUGUUUAUACAAAGUAAAUAUUGACUGUUCUAACGUGUGGUACAGUAAAAAGAGUUUCACUUAGUGAUCCGUGGAGUGCUAUAUUUUCCCUCCACUCUUCCUUGAGAAUAUACUUACAAUAUGGUAUGGAUCACCUUGCAAUGGUAUCGUUUGAUUGUACCACUCAUUGCAGUCAAUAUUAGCAUACAUUGUACUUAAAAGGCAGUGGUGUAGUCAAGUACAUUUCCAUGAGUACGAAAUGUACUGGAGUAUGAGUAUGAGUACUGCAACACUGCUAGAAGGCAUAUGAAGUGUGACUCAUGAGAAUGUGGAGGUGCACAUUGAUCUAUGCAAGACAAAGCUUUGCUUACUGCAUUUAUUCUAGCUUUAUAUGAACAUCUUCCAUAUGCCCAGUGACAUCUGAAACAUUUUUGUCAUUGACCUGACCAAUCACAUUGCUUUAUGACUAUAACAAUGAACAAGUAAGGGCGUUGUUUUCUUCUCUUGCUUUUGCAAAGUUUAAGGAAAACAAGACAAGUCCCUGCAUGCUUGAUUGAUGCGGCAUGAUUGUCAACAUCUGACAUGGUUUCUGCACAUCCACGUACUCUGGUUCAUAUUUAACUUAUGUAACUUCUUGGAAGCUUCCAUCCUAUUGUUCAUUUGUGUCUCGGUAAACAGUCAAAAUGUGGUAUUAAGCGCAUUCAGUUUUGCUGUUGAACCACUGUUAUUAACACAUUGAACCCAACUUUUUCAACAACUCAGAAUAUAGUAUAGGUAGAUUUUUCUUUAGGACAUUAAUAUCCAUGAUAUAUAUACGUAUAUAUUUUUAAGAAGGGGCUGAAGUCCAGCACUUUUUGAGUGAGAAAGCUAGAAUUGUUUUGCUUGUAUCCUAUUGUGUAUAGCUAUCCCGAGAUAAGUUGUGUCUAGUUUCUGUGCUGUUAUAGUUUGGUUUUCGUAUAUGGCACAUGAUGUAGGGUUUGAUAUUUACUUUGCUAGCUUGUGAUUUGCAACUUUGCCACAAACAUUUAAGAUAAAUAUAAAGAUCAUAAAAUGAUCACUUUUUUGUUAUUAAUUUCAUUAAUCAGAAAUACAGGUGGAAUGUAGGUUAGCUAUACACAUCAAUCAUAUUGACAAAUAUGUUGGUUUGUAUAAAAAAAAAAGGCCUCCUGUUUAAACGAUAUACUUAAAGUCUUUAUUAGUUUAAUUGUGUUGGACAAUAUAUUUCAAAUGAUGUUUAUUAUAUAAAAAAGUGAUCACAUAGGGAAAUGGUUUCAGUAAAUUAUGUUUAAAAGAAAUCAUUUCUGCUAUGCAAAAUGUAAAAAAAAGGUUUAAAUAUUGUAUGGUUUUACUUGUUUAUGUAUAUUCAUUUACUUUUACAAAAUUGUGCAAUUUAUGAAUUAAUAACUGAGCUUUCAGACAUUUGAGAUGGAAAAAGUCAACAUUGAUACUAAAGGACCUAAGACAAGAAAUGGGAAAAUGGGGGGGGGGGGGGCGGAGCGUUUGUUGAAUUCUUUAUUUCAGUUAUGCUGGUAGCUUUAUUUAUUUGACAUGGUCCUACAGAAACUGCAAUUGUUGCAAUAAAGUAGUCCAAGUUAUUCUUUUGCUAACUGCGAAAACUGUAAACUAAUGAAUGUACACAUGUUUUUGUGAGAAUAGAUGUGGUUUAUUGUAACAAUGUAUGGUUAUAUUUUGUACAAAUUAUCCUACUUCCCAUGCAUGGAUGCUGUGAUUAUGUUCAGUAAUUUAGUUGUUUUAAGUCUAUUUUCUUCGGUCAAGAUAGAGGUUCUGAGUACAAACAAUGUGCUUUUUAAAAAUGAACGAGUGAUUGUUUGAAUUAUUGUCUGGUACAAUUUAUGUUGCACAUUGUGACUUGCUUUUCACAGAGUGCAUGUACAUGUAAUAUAUGAAUUCUGUAACGUAUGUACUACUAGUAUGUUAUGUCCAGUGGCCCUAAGAGUGAAAUAACAUUAUGUGAGACUUGCA